AAAUAAAUAUGAAUAUAAAGAAACUUCUAACUUCUAAAAUAUGGUUAAAAUCCAUUUUAUUUU
rnacentral:tRNA from 1 species